rnacentral:rRNA from 1 species
AUUGAACGCUGGCGGCAGGCUUAACACAUGCAAGUCGAGCGGAGUGAUGGUGCUUGCACUAUUACUUAGCGGCGGACGGGUGAGGAAUGCUUAGGAAUCUGCCAUUUAGUGGGGGACAACAUUCCGAAAGGAAUGCUAAUAACGCAUACGACAUACGGGAGAAAGCAGGGGAUCUUCGGACCUUGCGCUAAAUGAUGAGCCUAAGUCGGAUUAGCUAGUUGGUGGGGUAAAGGCGUACCAAGGCGACGAUCUGUAGCGGGUCUGAGAGGAUGAUCCGCCACACUGGGACUGAGACACGGCCCAGACUCCUACGGGAGGCAGCAGUGGGGAAUAUUGGACAAUGGGCGGAAGCCUGAUCCAGCCAUGCCGCGUGUGUGAAGAAGGCCUUUUGGUUGUAAAGCACUUUAAGCGAGGAGGAGGCUCUCCUAGUUAAUACCUAGGAAGAGUGGACGUUACUCGCAGAAUAAGCACCGGCUAACUCUGUGCCAGCAGCCGCCGUAAUAC